GAUGAACGCUGGCGGCGUGCUUAACACAUGCAAGUCGAACGGAGGAUAUUUCAGGGAAGCUUCGGCAGAACAGGGAUAUCCUUAGUGGCGGACGGGUGAGUAACGCGUGGGUAACCUGCCUUAUACAGGGGGAUAACAGCCAGAAAUGGCUGCUAAUACCGCAUAAGCGCACAGGACCGCAUGGUCCAGUGUGAAAAACUCCGGUGGUAUAAGAUGGACCCGCGUUGGAUUAGCUGGUUGGUGGGGUAACGGCCUACCAAGGCGACGAUCCAUAGCCGGCCUGAGAGGGUGAACGGCCACAUUGGGACUGAGACACGGCCCAGACUCCUACGGGAGGCAGCAGUGGGGAAUAUUGGCACAAUGGGCGAAAGCCUGAUGCAGCAACGCCGCGUGAGGGAAGAAAGGGUCUUCGGAUUGUAAACCUUUGUCCUAAGUGAAGAAACAAAUGACGUAGCUUAGGAGGAAGCCACGGCUAACUACGUG
rnacentral:rRNA from 1 species